AAGGACUCAGAAGUUCCUCGAGUGAACUUCCUCCUCCUAUUGUUUUCCACAUUUCUUUCGUCACCUCCAGAAGUCUCCAUCUUUUUUCUUUUCCUUCCAUUAGUAGAAUUCCCACUUUGACUCAACUCGUUCCUCUUUUCAAUUAUCUCGACCAUACAUUUUAAAGAUUGUUGUCUAGUCCUCCUCUUUGAAACAGAGCCAUCCCCUGAAUCCAUCUU
rnacentral:lncRNA from 1 species